GGGGCUUUAGCUUAAUUAAAGUGUCUGAGUUGCAAUCAGUGGAUGUAAAUUAAAGUUUUACAGGCCCC
rnacentral:tRNA from 1 species